rnacentral:misc_RNA from 1 species
AAACAAAAGAAACUAAGCUCACACUGUGGAACAAGAAAUAAGCCCACGAGAGUCAACCAUCCCAAAUCGAACCGAUUCAACUCAACCAAACCAACCUAACAACCAAUCCUUCCCCAACCUUAAACCUUAAUUGUAGGGAUGAAAAAAAAAUAAAGAAAACAUGCUGCUGACCAUCUUGGAUUCGCUUCUAUCGAAAGAGCUACACUGCAAUCGAAGCCAAGCACAUUAUCGGCCACACAAAGAGCAUAAUUCCCAUCAUAGUUCGACAGCCCAUCCAACAGCGAUGAACACAAAGAAUUCCAAAACAGAGUACGUCAACUCUAUCUUGGUUAAGGAUGUUGCUGCGGAGCUUUUAGACCAUCGUUGGUCCUCAAAACAACCCAAUCGUAGUGUAGAAGUGUAUUCUAGAGUUGCAACCAACGAAUCAUAAGAGUUGUCCUCAACCACAUAGAAUAAACCAAGACUCAUACCGAACUUCACAGUCAAGCGAUGACAAGCGAAGCAUAAAGAAGCUAUCAGCAUGGCCUAUGGACCUCCAAGAAGACAGUUGGCUGAAUAUCUCUGUGAGAUAAAUAAUUACUAACUUUGAACUCUUGUUCAUGUGAAUUACUCAUAUGAACUGUAUGUCCCUUGGACCCA